rfam:Pseudoalteromonas piscicida strain S2040 contig0005, whole genome shotgun sequence.
GCAAUGUGCCGACAGGAUGUCGGCCAAGUCUUGUCUGGCACAGGGACGUGCCUUACAAGACGGUUGC